rnacentral:rRNA from 1 species
GACGAACGCUGGCGGCGUGCUUAACACAUGCAAGUCGAACGGAAAGGCCCUGCUUUUGUGGGGUUCUCGAGUGGCGAACGGGUGAGUAACACGUGAGUAACCUUCGCUUGACUUUGUGAUAACUGCAGGAAACUGGGGCUAAUACCUGAGAGGAGCUCCUGCUGCAGGGUGGGGGUUGGAAAGUUUCGGCUGUUGUGGAUGGACUCGCGGCUUAUCAGCUGGUUGGGGGGGGAGUGGCUUACCAAGGCUUUGGCGGGUCGCCUGCCUGGGAGGGUGACCAGCCACAUUGCGACUGCGGUACGGACCAGAGUGCUACGGGAGGCAGUAGGCGGGAAUAUUGCACAAUGGGGGGAAGCGUGAUGAGGAGACCUCGCGUGCGGGAUGACGGCCUUCGGGUUAUAAACCGCUUUAGCAUGUGACGAAGCGUGAGUGACGGUAACAGGUAAAGAAGCACCGGCUAACUACGUG